GAGUAUUCCAUCCCGCUCUCCCGACUCAUUUAAAAAAACCCUUACAAACACCCCCAAACAAAACGCUACCCAUCCGUCAUCAUCAUUCCUCCGCUUUCCGAUCGAUCCGUAGAGAGACCGAUCCAAGCCUCGCCUCGCCUCGCCUCUACUACUAUUCCUCGAUACUGUUCCUCGAUUCGCUGAAGGGAACUCGGAGGAAUCGCGAGAUUCCGCUGGUCCGAAGCUGAGUGUCAAAGCAAUGGCAAUGGAGAUCACCCAGAUCCUAUUAUCAGCCCAAUCUCCGGAUGCUGAUGUGAGGACUGUUGCAGAGAAGAACCUUAAGCAGUUUCAGGAGCAGAAUCUCCCCAUUUUUCUCCUCUCCUUAUCUGCUGAGCUAUCAAGUGAGAAAAAGCCUCGUGAAUCCCGAAGACUUGCUGGCAUUAUCCUUAAGAAUUCUUUGGAUGCAAAGGACUUAAUUAGGAAAGGAGAGCUGACACAACGGUGGGUAAAUAUUGAUGCUUCAGUAAAAACCCAGAUCAAGCAAUCUCUAUUCCGGACCCUUGGGUCAUCUGUAUCUGAGGCAGGGCACACCUCAUCACAAGUCAUUGGAAAGAUUGCUUCCAUUGAGAUCCCUCGAAAGCAAUGGCCAGAGCUCAUUGGCCACUUGCUAUCCAACAUGACCCAGCUAGAGACACCGGCCUCAUUGAAACAAGCAACCCUCCAGGCACUGGGUUAUGUCUGUGAGGAGAUAUCUUCUCAGGAUUUGGAGCAAGACCAAGUAAAUGCAGUCCUUACUGCUGUUGUUCAGGGUAUGUCUCAGACUGAACAGAGCUCUGAAGUCCGUCUUGCUGCUGUUAGAGCACUAUAUAAUGCUCUUGAUUUCGCUCAGCAUAACUUUGACAAUGAGAUGGAGCGGAAUUUCAUUUUGAAGGUUGUAUGUGAGACUGCUGUAUCAAAAGAGCCGGAGAUUAGGCAGGCGGCAUUUGAGUGCCUUGUUUCUAUAUCUUCUACAUACUAUGAGGUGCUGGAGCAGUAUAUGCAGACAUUAUUCAAUCUGACAGCAAAUGCUGUGAAGACAGAUGAAGAACCUGUUGCCCUUCAAGCUAUUGAGUUCUGGAGUUCUGUUUGUGAUGAAGAGAUUGAGAUUCAAGAAGUCUAUGGGGGAGCCGAUGGUGCAGGCUCGGAGCAUCACCAUUUUCAUUUUAUAGAGAAAACACUUCCUUUCCUUGUUCCAUUGUUGCUAGAAACUCUUCUGAAGCAGGAGGAGGAUCAAGAUCAAGAUGAAGGUAUCUGGAAUUUGUCCAUGGCUGCUGGGACCUGCUUAGGACUUGUUGCAAGGACUGUUGGAGAUGCGAUAGUGCCCCUUGUUAUGCCCUUCGUGGAGAAUAACAUAGUAAAACCUGAUUGGCGAAGCCGAGAGGCAGCCACCUAUGCUUUUGGGUCCAUUCUUGAAGGCCCAUCGAUUGAAAAGCUUUCUCCACUGGUUCAUGCUGGUCUAAACUUCUUUCUUAAUUCAAUGAAAGACCAGAAUAGCCAUGUGAAGGACACCACUUCAUGGGCUUUGGCUAGGAUCUUUGAAUUCUUGCAUUCUCCAAACAGUCCCUAUCCAAUUGUAACAUCUUCAAAUCUUCCUCAUAUCAUGUCUGUAUUGUUGGAAAGUAUCAAAGAUGCCCCUAACGUGGCUGAAAAGGUUUGUGGUGCCAUUUACUUUCUUGCUCAGGGGUAUGAGGAUGAGGGGUCAGGGUCAAGUUCCUCUGUCCUUUCACCUUACCUUCCUGACAUCAUUGCGGCUCUCCUUUUCUCUGCUGAUCGCACAGACUCUAACGGUUCCAGGCUUCGGGCUUCUGCAUAUGAAACCUUGAAUGAGAUAAUAAGGUGCAGCAGUAUACCUGAGACUUCAAAUAUGAUUGCCCAGUUACUCCACACAAUCAUGACCAGACUAGGCCAGACUGUAGAGCUCCAAGUUGUUUCCUCGGGUGACAGGGAGAAGCAAAUUGAUAUUCAAGCUUUGCUCUGUGGUGUCCUCCAAGUAUUGAUUCAGAAGCUGAGUGCCUCUGAUGAGACAAAGUCAAUCAUUCUGCAGGCUGCUGAUCAGAUGAUGAUCCUGUUUCUCCAAGUGUUUGCUUGCCGUAGUUCUACUGUGCAUGAAGAAGCAAUGCUUGCCAUUGGAGCACUAGCUUAUGCUACUGGUCCAGAAUUUGCUAAAUACAUGCCAGAGUUCUACAAGUAUCUAGAGAUGGGAUUGCAAAAUAUUAAGGAGUAUCAGGUCUGCUCUAUCUCCGUUGGCGUCGUGGGGGACAUCUGCCGAGCCUUGGAUGACAAGAUCCUUCCCUAUUGUGAUGGUAUCAUGACUCAUCUUCUCAGGAACCUCUCAAAUUCCUUGCUCAACCGGUCUGUCAAGCCUCCCAUUUUCUCAUGUUUGGGGGACAUUGCCCUUGCCAUCGGUGAGCAUUUUGAGAAGUAUCUGCCCUAUACAAUGCCAAUGCUGCAAGGAGCUGCUGAACUGUGCUCUCAGAUGGAUGGUGGCGAUGAGGAUUUGCUUGAUUACGGAAACCAGCUUAGACGCGGCAUAUUUGAUGCUUACUCUGGUGUACUUCAGGGAUUUAAAAACUCCAAGGCAGAGCUGAUGGUUCCUUAUGCAGGCCAUCUUUUGCAAUUUACAGAGGCAAUCUUUAAAGACAAGGAUAGGGAUGAGGGAGUGACUAAAGCUGCGGUUGCUGUCAUGGGGGAUCUUGCAGACACACUCGGUCCAAACACAAAGAUCUUCUUCAGAGAUUGUACUUUCCAUAAGGAUUUCUUAGGAGAGUGUUUUGCAUCUGAUGAUGACCAACUGAAGCAGACAGCAACUUGGACUCAGGGAAUGAUUGGACGUGUUCUGGUUUCAUGAGGUGAAGCCACUUCUUGGAGUGCAAUGAAGUUUCCUCUUUACAUCAUACUGUUUUCUGUGAUAGGAAAGCAGUUCAAAGUCUCAAGGCCCUUUUUGGAAAUGAUGUGAAAGAAGUUGAGUUUAUUCUCCAUUGAAACAUUCUAGUCACUGCCCUCACUAUUUUUGAGAUGCUGCAAAUACAUUUGGAUGGAGAGUAGGGAUGUUGAGCUAAAUCUGAGCGAAGCAGGUACUUUGGAUAGGCCUGACUUGAUGACCCAGCCUGAACCAAUGCCCAAUGGGGGCCAUGGUUUAGCAGGUUGACAUCCUUAAUGGAGAGGUUGCAACACAAACAGGUGCUUUAGGUGUGGAGGCUCUCUUUUGGUCCUUCUGCUGAGGCCAUCAAUCUACAUUCCUGGAUUGGAGAUCAAAUGGAUGUCAUGCAUAUGUGUCAGAGUGUAUGGCAUAUCGUCCCCAUGUAAAUGUACUUGCUGUUCUUUGGAUCAAAUAUAAAGAAAAUUAUUAGGAUUGCAAUGGCUGAAUUAGACAUGGAAGUAAUUACGAAACCGAGAAGGAAGUGUUUGCCAGAUGGUACUGAACAACUGCAGCUUGCAGAACCCUGUGGAAUGGCUUCUGCGGAGCUUUCUCAGGCCAAUUCUAAAUUCUUGGCAUAUGCAAUUACCUCACAAUCUAUGUGCUUGGAUUCCAGUUAGUUGCCAUUUUAAUGUUGAAGGUUGGUGUGAGAGCAUGACGAUAUCAGAAUUGGAUUUGUCUCAUUUCUUGAAGUUCAGCAAAAAGUUAUAUUGUAAAGUCUCAUUUCUUGUUCAGUGUAUUUAAUAGUUAGUGGUUUGAUUACAGUUUCAUAGCUUAAUAUGGAACUAUACAUAACCUAUCUCU